GCCUGUGACCAGAGCACUUUGAGCAUGACCAAUCUCUUCAUAUCGCAGAAGCUAAGCGGAUUUUUAGCCUGGUUAGUAUUUGGAUGGGGGACCAUUGGGGCUUGCCAAGUGUUGUAGGCG
rnacentral:rRNA from 1 species